rnacentral:rRNA from 1 species
CAGCAGCCGCGGGAAUACGUAGGUGGCAAGCGUUGUCCGGAAUUACUGGGCGUAAAGGGCGCGUAGGCGGCCAUUCAAGUUAGAUGUGAAAGCCCUGGGCUCAACCUAGGAAUUGCAUUUGAUACUGUUUGGCUUGAGUUCGGGAGAGGUGAGUGGAAUUCCCAGUGUAGAGGUGAAAUUCGUAGAUAUUGGGAAGAACACCAGUGGCGAAGGCGGCUCACUGGACCGACACUGACGCUGAGGCGCGAAAGCGUGGGGAGCAAACAGGAUUAGAUACCCCUGUAGUCCCUGUCUCUUAUAC